CAACACUCUAAUAGGUAUUUUAACUCUCUCACUCUGGGGUUAACAGGUUUAACUUGAGGUAUCCCUCACUCUGGGGUUAACAGGUUUAACUUGAGCUAUCUCUCACUCUGGGGUUAACAGGUUUAACUUGAGCUAUCUCUCACUCUGGGGUUAACAGGUUUAGCUUGAGGUAUCUCUCACUCUGGGGUUAACAGGUUUAACUUGAGGUAUCUCUCACUCUGGGGUUAACAGGUUUAACUUGAGGUAUCUCUCACUCUGGGGUUAACAGGUUUAACUUGAGCUAUCUCUCACUCUGGGGUUAACAGGUUUAGCUUGAGGUAUCUCUCACUCUGGGGUUAACAGGUUUAACUUGAGGUAUCUCUCACUCUGGGGUUAACAGGUUUAACUUGAGGUAUCUCUCACUCUGGGGUUAACAGGUUUAACUUGAGGUAUCUCUCACUCUGGGGUUAACAGGUUUAACUUGAGGUAUCUCUCACUCUGGGGUUAACAGGUUUAACUUGAGCUAUCUCUCACUCUGGGGUUAACAGGUUUAACUUGAGGUAUCUCUCACUCUGGGGUUAACAGGUUUAACUUGAGGUAUCUCUCACUCUGGGGUUAACAGGUUUAGCUUGAGGUAUCUCUCACUCUGGGGUUAACAGGUUUAACUUGAGGUAUCUCUCACUCUGGGGUUAACAGGUUUAGCUUGAGCUAUCUCUCACUCUGGGGUUAACAGGUUUAGCUUGAGGUAUCUCUCACUCUGGGGUUAACAGGUUUAACUUGAGGUAUCUCUCACUCUGGGGUUAACAGGUUUAGCUUGAGGUAUCUCUCACUCUGGGGUUAACAGGUUUAACUUGAGGUAUCUCUCACUCUGGGGUUAACAGGUUUAGCUUGAGCUAUCUCUCACUCUGGGGUUAACAGGUUUAGCUUGAGGUAUCUCUCACUCUGGGGUUAACAGGUUUAACUUGAGCUAUCUCUCACUCUGGGGUUAACAGGUUUAACUUGAGCUAUCUCUCACUCUGGGGUUAACAGGUUUAACUUGAGCUAUCUCUCACUCUGGGGUUAACAGGUUUAACUUGAGGUAUCUCUCACUCUGGGGUUAACAGGUUUAACUUGAGGUAUCUCUCACUCUGGGGUUAACAGGUUUAACUUGAGGUAUCUCUCACUCUGGGGUUAACAGGUUUAACUUGAGCUAUCUCUCACUCUGGGGUUAACAGGUUUAACUUGAGGUAUCUCUCACUCUGGGGUUAACAGGUUUAGCUUGAGCUAUCUCUCACUCUGGGGUUAACAGGUUUAACUUGAGGUAUCUCUCACUCUGGGGUUAACAGGUUUAACUUGAGCUAUCUCUCACUCUGGGGUUAACAGGUUUAACUUGAGGUAUCUCUCACUCUGGGGUUAACAGGUUUAACUUGAGGUAUCUCUCACUCUGGGGUUAACAGGUUUAGCUUGAGGUAUCUCUCACUCUGGGGUUAACAGGUUUAACUUGAGGUAUCUCUCACUCUGGGGUUAACAGGUUUAACUUGAGCUAUCUCUCACUCUGGGGUUAACAGGUUUAACUUGAGGUAUCUCUCACUCUGGGGUUAACAGGUUUAACUUGAGCUAUCUCUCACUCUGGGGUUAACAGGUUUAACUUGAGGUAUCUCUCACUCUGGGGUUAACAGGUUUAGCUUGAGCUAUCUCUCACUCUGGAGUUAACAGGUUUAGCUUGAGCUAUCUCUCACUCUGGGGUUAACAGGUUUAACUUGAGGUAUCUCUCACUCUGGGGUUAACAGGUUUAGCUUGAGCUAUCUCUCACUCUGGGGUUAACAGGUUUAGCUUGAGCUAUCUCUCACUCUGGGGUUAACAGGUUUAGCUUGAGCUAUCUCUCACUCUGGAGUUAACAGGUUUAGCUUGAGCUAUCUCUCACUCUGGGGUUAACAGGUUUAGCUUGAGCUAUCUCUCACUCUGGGGUUAACAGGUUUAACUUGAGGUAUCUCUCACUCUGGGGUUAACAGGUUUAGCUUGAGCUAUCUCUCACUCUGGGGUUAACAGGUUUAACUUGAGGUAUCUCUCACUCUGGAGUUAACAGGUUUAACUUGAGGUAUCUCUCACUCUGGAGUUAACAGUUUUAGCUUGAGCUAUCUCUCACUCUGGGGUUAACAGGUUUAG